GAAGGCCAUAGCCUAGUGGUUAUGCGUGUGAGCGGAGGAGCUGCUGACCCGGGUUCGAGUCCCGUUGUCUUCC
rnacentral:tRNA from 1 species